rnacentral:rRNA from 1 species
GAUGAACGCUGACAGAAUGCUUAACACAUGCAAGUCUUUGGCGAAGCUGUGCUUGCACAGCCUAGCCAAGGCGGACGGGUGAGUAACGCGUAAGGAACUUGCCCUGCAGUCAGGGAUAACAGACGGAAACGACUGAUAAGACCUGGUAAAGUCAGGCGGACUCAUGUCCAGCCUGAUGAAAAGAGAUGCUGCAGGAGAGCCUUGCGUCCUAUUAGCUUGUUGGUGGGGUAACGGCCCACCAAGGCAAUGAUAGGUAGCCGGCCUGAGAGGGUGGACGGCCACAAGGGGACUGAGAUACGGCCCUUACUCCUACGGGAGGCAGCAGUGGGGAAUAUUGGACAAUGGGGGCAACCCUGAUCCAGCAAUUCUGUGUGCACGAUGAAGGUUUUCGGAUUGUAAAGUGCUUUCAGCAGGGAAGAAAAAAAUGACGGUACCUGCAGAAGAAGCGACGGCUAAAUACGUGCCAGCAGCCGCGGUAAUACGUAUGUCGCAAGCGUUAUCCGGAAUUAUUGGGCAUAAAGGGCAUCUAGGCGGCCAGAUAAGUCUGGGGUGAAAACUUGCGGCUCAACCGCAAGCCUGCCCUGGAAACUAUGUGGCUAGAGUACUGGGGAGGUGGACGGAACUGCACGAGUAGAGGUGAGAUUCGUAGAUAUGUGCAGGAAUGCCGAUGAUGAAGAUAGUUCACUGGACGGUAACUGACGCUGAAGUGCGAAAGCUAGGGGAGCAAACAGG